rnacentral:rRNA from 1 species
GAGCGGACCGACGGGAGCUUGCUCCCUUAGGUUAGCGGCGGACGGGUGAGUAACACGUGGGUAACCUGCCUGUAAGACUGGGAUAACUCCGGGAAACCGGGGCUAAUACCGGAUGCUUGAUUGAACCGCAUGGUUCAAUUAUAAAAGGUGGCUUUUAGCUACCACUUACAGAUGGACCCGCGGCGCAUUAGCUAGUUGGUGAGGUAACGGCUCACCAAGGCAACGAUGCGUAGCCGACCUGAGAGGGUGAUCGGCCACACUGGGACUGAGACACGGCCCAAACUCCUACGGGAGGCAGCAGUAGGGAAUCUUCCGCAAUGGACGAAAGUCUGACGGAGCAACGCCGCGUGAGUGAUGAAGGUUUUCGGAUCGUAAAACUCUGUUGUUAGGGAAGAACAAGUACCGUUCGAAUAGGGCGGUACCUUGACGGUACCUAACCAGAAAGCCACGGCUAACUACGUGCCAGCAGCCGCGGUAAUACGUAGGUGGCAAGCGUUGUCCGGAAUUAUUGGGCGUAAAGCGCGCGCAGGCGGUUUCUUAAGUCUGAUGUGAAAGCCCCCGGCUCAACCGGGGAGGGUCAUUGGAAACUGGGGAACUUGAGUGCAGAAAAGGAGAGUGGAAUUCCACGUGUAGCGGUGAAAUGCGUAGAGAUGUGGAGGAACACCAGUGGCGAAGGCGACUCUCUGGUCUGUAACUGACGCUGAGGCGCGAAAGCGUGGGGAGCGAACAGGAUUAGAUACCCUGGUAGUCCACGCCGUAAACGAUGAGUGCUAAGUGUUAGAGGGUUUCCGCCCUUUAGUGCUGCAGCAAACGCAUUAAGCACUCCGCCUGGGGAGUACGGUCGCAAGACUGAAACUUCAAGGAAUUGACGGGGGCCCGCACAAGCGGUGGAGCAUGUGGUUUAAUUCGAAGCAACGCGAAGAACCUUACCAGGUCUUGACAUCCUCUGACACCCCUAGAGAUAGGGCUUCCCUUCGGGGCAGAAUGACAGGGGUGCAUGGUUGCCUCAGCU